UAGUAACUGCGAGUGAAGCGGGAAAAGCUCAAAUUUAAAAUCUGGUGGUCUUUGGCCAUCCGAGUUGUAAUUUAGAGAAGCGUCUUCCGCGCUGGACCGUGCACAAGUCUCCUGGAAUGGAGCCUCAUAGAGGGUGAGAAUCCCGUCUUUGGCACGGAUGUACCAGGGCUUUUGUGAUGCGCUCUCGAAGAGUCGAGUUGUUUGGGAAUGCAGCUCAAAAUGGGUGGUGAACUCCAUCUAAAGCUAAAUAUUGGCGAGAGACCGAUAGCGAACAAGUACCGUGAGGGAAAGAUGAAAAGCACUUUGGAAAGAGAGUGAAACAGUACGUGAAAUUGUUGAAAGGGAAACGCUUGAAGUCAGUCACGUCGACCGAGACUCAGCCUUGCCUCGGCUUGGUGUAUUUCUCGGCUGACGGGUCAGCAUCAAUUUUGCCCCUUGGAUAAUGGCGAGGGAAAUGUGACACCUUUACGGUGUGUUAUAGUCUCUCGUCGCAUGCAAGGGUCGGGAUUGAGGAACUCAGCACGCGCCCUCGGGCGUCGGGGCUUUGCCCACGAUACGUGCUUAGGAUGUUGGCGUAAUGGCUUUAAACGACCCGUCUUGAAACACGGACCAAGGAGUCUAACAUGCCUGCGAGUGUUCGGGUGGAAAACCCGUGCGCGCAAUGAAAGUGAAAGUUGGGACCUCUGUCGUGGAGGGCACCGACGCCCGGACCAGACCUUCUGUGACGGUUCUGCGGUAGAGCAUGUAUGUUAGGACCCGAAAGAUGGUGAACUAUGCCUGAAUAGGGUGAAGCCAGAGGAAACUCUGGUGGAGGCUCGUAGCGAUUCUGACGUGCAAAUCGAUCGUCAAAUUUGGGUAUAGGGGCGAAAGACUAAUCGAACCAUCUAGUAGCUGGUUCCUGCGAGAGUU
rnacentral:rRNA from 1 species